GCUUAGUUCAUUGACGAAUUAUGGAACAACAGGCCCCUGGAAACAGACAUAUAAGCCCCCCCACCACCACCUGUCCUGUAUAGGAGCAAGACCCCAAGACUGAAAGAAAAACAAAAUGACUGGAUGUAUCUCUUUGAGACCACUUCAAGUUCUGACAUAUUUUCAGGGCUGUUGUGCAGGCACAAGAUCGACCCACAGGUUUUCAGUGACAUUCAGGUGAGGGGAAAGCGAGGGCCGCUCCAUAAGCUUCAGCUUGUGUUUCUAGAUGUAGCUCAUGAUGGAUUUUUUCAGGUCUGCUUUGGAUCACUGUCCUGCCUGCCUCUUUUCGCUCUCACUUUCUUGACUGCAGGAUAUUUGCAGACAGUUUGCUGAUGUUUAGUGAAGUCCAUUCUUUCCUCUGUCUGUGCAGCGUUUCCUGCACCCUGAGGCAGAAUAUUUCCACUCAUCCCCAUGCUUAAUAGUUGGCAAAGGACAGAUUACCAAAUGCUGGCUUAGUAGGGUGCCAAAGCUUUUGCAUGUGCCACAAUUCCUGUUUAGCAGUUUUUCUGUCUUUUAAGUUCAUGAAAUAAAAAGUAUCAGUACAUUAA